CCUCCUCCGUCCCACGGCUGCUCCUCAUCUCCCAGCCUUAUCUCCGCAUCCUGACUUCGGACCCACCGCCACCCUCAGUCCAGUCAUCCCCUCAGACCACCGCGGGCUCCAGCACGCCCUCCCACUGGAGUAGCAGGACAACUGGGGUGUAUCAUGUAUUUUUGUCUUGGGAAGUUUCUUUGGCAGAUUUUUGCACCCCUUGAUCCCACAUGAAGAAACUUAGAAGUAUAUGGGGAGGAGGAGCAGAUCUAUGUUUUGUGGAACCUGGAACCUACAAAAUUUGAAGAAAUUCAUUCUAAGAUAGUGAGAUUUGGAUUUAGCCUCAGGUUGGGUUAAAUUUUGAUUUUGCUACUUGCUCAUCUGGCAUUUGUACAAAAUAUGAAUUCAGCAAAGCCUUCAUGCAAAAUCCAAACAUUGGGAAUUUGAGCCUGCAGAAGCAGCAGUGAUAACUGAGAAGAUGAUAAGCUUCCUUACACUCACCUACUUCGUCAGAUCUCACCCUG